GAUCACACUUUUUUCACAGCUCAGAUUGGCAUGUUGGUGAACUUAUUAGCUUAGAUUUCACGUUAUUCAUGCCUACAUGAGCUGCAUACAACUGCUCUAAUCGGUAGGAUGUGGACGGACAUUGCAUUCAUUCCCAUUCAGCCGUUGGACUGAACCUGUACUGUCUGUAACACAGUAUGGAUGGUCAAUAUGAAGCGAGCUUCAUUGAAUUCCUCCAAGAGCUCUGUACUCCGUUCUGACCAUUUUGAAGAUGGUUGCUUUGACAGGACUGGGCAAGUGACUCGUCUUAGACAGGAUGCUGUCCCAACCAUGUUUGAUUUCCUGCCUCGUCUUCAGAAGAAUUCACCCAAGCCAAGGAAUUCCCCGAAAGAAAGACGUUUUGAUUCAGCAAACAACCUCCCAGAUACUGCAAAGUCUUCAGCACCUUCAUUUCUCGAGGACCACUCCUACUCAAUAUCAGAAAGUCCAAGAGGGGUAAAGUGGAAGAUAACAGCAAUAAUGGACUGUAUUAAGAACUUGGAGAAGAGGCUGAAAACCACACACGAGAAGUCCCGCCGUGUACAUUACUUGCUCUUAAGUUUGGACAAACAUAACUUGCAAAACUUUACAACAAAUAAUUACCCCAAUGUGCAUUCUGAUUAUUUAAAAUAGCUCAAUGAAAUAGUUUAUCAGUGGGCAUGUAACAAAAGUGAAUUCAUUAAAUUUGAACGUGUUGCAAAAAUGAUGUCUUACAGUAUAUUCAUUUUGACUUAGAAUGUCAGAAGAGAAAAAAGCUUUUGAAAAGUAGGAAUGACGGCAAGAUGACAGAAGAAUAGAACAGGAUAGAGCAAGGGGGACAGAUAAAGGACAAGUCCACCCCAAAAAUUGUUGAUAUGAAUAAAAAGAUAAAAAUCCAACAAGCAUAACACUGAAAAUUUGAUAAAAAAUCGGAUGUAAAAUAAGAAAGUUAUGACAUUUAAAAAUUUUGCUAAAUUUUACAAAAGAGUUAUAUGCACAUUCUGUACACAGUCAGUAUGCAAAUGAGGAGACUGAUGACGUCAUCCACUCACUAUUUCAUUUGAUAUAUAGAAUAAGGUAUAUUCUAAUUUUCUCCUUGUCAUGUUAAACAAAAUUUUAUUCCUCCCUGAUCAUGUGGAAUUAGCAUUAUUCAAUACUUUUUUGGUUCAGUAAAGUUUGUCCUUAUGGUAAAAUCUGUAAAAAAUGAAAUAUUGUAUAAUUC